GGAUGUGAGGGUAAUCUGGCUGCGACAUCUGUCACUCCAUUGAUUGCCAGAGUUGAUUCGGCUGAUCUGGCUGGCUAGGCGGGUGUCCCCUUCCUCCCUCACUGCUCCAUGUGCAUCCCUCCCAAAGCUGUGCGCUUGGUCGAAGAGGACGACCUUCCCCAAAUAGAGGAGGACCGGUCUUCGUUCAAGGGUAUACGAGUAACUGCACUCCCCUGCUAGAACCUCCAAACAAGCUCUCAGAUAUGUGUGCUUCUUUUGCAAUACUCAUUGAGGUGGUUUGAAUAAGGAUGGCCCCUAUAAACUCAUACAUUUGAAUGUUU
rnacentral:snRNA from 1 species